rnacentral:rRNA from 1 species
AUUGAACGCUGGCGGCAGGCUUAACACAUGCAAGUCGAACGAGGGGCGGACGGGUGAGUAAUGCUUGGGAAUCUAGCUUAUGGAGGGGGAUAACUACGGGAAACUGUAGCUAAUACCGCGUAGCAUAGGAUGAGCCCAAGUGGGAUUAGGUAGUUGGUGAGGUAAAGGCUCACAAAGCCGACGAUCUCUAGCGGGUGUGAGAGGAGGACCGUCCACACUGUGACUUGUCCACGGCCCAGACUCCUCCGUGAGGCAGCAGUGGGGAAUCUUGUACAAUGAGCGCAUGCCUGAUGCAGCCAUGCCGCGUGGAUGAAGAAGGCCUUAGGGUUGUAAAGUACUUUCAGCGGGGAGGCGUUACCCGCAGAAGAAGCACCGGCUAACUCCGUGCCAGCAGCCGCGGUAAUAC